ensembl:lncRNA
GUAAAGGAAAAGACACACGCAAACUUGGCUCUUCAGGAGGCGAUCAUAGAACAUUUCUCACUCAAACCGCUGUCUUUUUCUAAUUUGUACGGUAAGAAGAUCUUUUGAACUCUACAAAGCAUUUUAAAGCGAUAAAGCUGACGAGUCCCUGACAAAAAAAAAAGAACUUUUGCUUCCGGUCGCAGUGAAGAGCGAGUGUGAUUUUCAGUCUAUAUACAUAAAUGAUUUAAAAUCUAGCACAUACUCUGGUUCACUUUUAAUAUUACUUUAGUGAUGCAUCCGAGGUUCCCUGUAUUCGGUAUUCUUUGCAAAAUGCCUCUCAAAUAACUGCCGCUGCUGAUUUUUCAGGUGAAUUUCAAGUCAAUCAAAAAAUGAGUAAAAAGGACGUAACAGUUGAUGACACAACUAAAAAAAAAUUCAUUAACAGUCGUUGGUCAUCCAUCACUGAAAGGGUGCCAUUGGUGAAUCCUAUCCUAGACCGCUUACUCGAAGAAAAGAUUAUCUCUGUCGAGGCAUAUGACAAGAUUCGAAAAGAGAAGUCUGAACCAGAAAAAAUGAGGGCGAUACAUCGCUUCUUGCAUAGUGGCGGCUGUGUUGCAUAUUCUAAAUUUUUCCAGAUCCUACAGGAAUGCCAACCACAACUUUUUGAUGAACUGUGUAAAGUAAACUUUUAAUGCUCUGCAUUGUAGUAUUUACACAUUAUUGUAUGUCCAUUAUUUCUCUUAUUGAAGUAUUAUUAAAGUAAAAGCAUUCAUUUUCUAAAAUGUUUGUUGUAGCAAUGUAAAUCGAUAGGUACUUAAAAUCAGUAAACAAAACAAGAGCUUAUUCAAGGUGGUAACAUUUUUAUUAAUUGACUCAUAUUAAUAAACUCGGGACUGUUUAGGGGGAAACUGGACAAAAAGAAAACUGGAGGACAAUAAAGAAAACGGAAAGAAAAGAAGACGAAUGCCAGGAGAUGAAACAGAUUCACAGACAAAGUCAAUGAAUCAAGAACCAGCAGAUGGCAGUCAUCCUGAAGAAGACUCAGCACGUUUUUACGCCAUUGAAAAAAUGGAGAUGUAUCUUGAUAAUCCAGAGAACCGCCGAAGAAUAGUAAAUGAACUAAAACUAGAAUUAAAGGAGGGGGAAGUUAAAAAACUGGAAGAUUUCCUCAGUGGCAUGAAAGUGAAAAAAGUCUUUCGUUUCAGCCAUGAUGCUGUCAAGAAAAUAAUAUCCUGUAGAGAGAUAAAGACAUUUCUGAAACCAGGAAAUGAAAAGACUCUUUCCGAUAAAGUCAUUAAACAUUUCUUUGAAAAAGUUCGUGGUGCUCCAGCAGCAGCUCAGCACCAGAACAGAGCAGACCGUACGGGAACUAGUGUAGCUUCAGAGAUUAGUAAUGAUAAUAUGUCAGACAAUGAAUCUUCUGUAAUAGAUGAACCCCUACCCCUUCACACUAGUUCACCCACUUUUACUGCUAAACUUUCAGUGGCAGAAGAAAAUAAAAGAGGAAGCACAUCACUCAGCAUGCUUUCUCUCUCUCCAUCUAAAUCUUGCAGCCAAACAACAUCACCUCUUAAUGGUGGUCAUUGUGCUGUCACUACCACUAAUGAGAGUUUGCCUGUUGCCAGCAGUGACUACCCUGGAAAUCAUCAAAAUGUUUUCAGUGACUCAGGUUUUACCUCACUAUCUGAGAACCAGAACACAAAACAACCUUCGAAAACAUAUUUAAAACUAGAAUCCAUUCCUCUUCCUUUAGCAGAGACACCUAUCGAAGAUAAACUUUUUGCUCAGGAUGCCGAGACUCCAUCUCAAAACAAUGUGAAGGAGUCGGAUGUUAAUAUGGACAGUCCUGACAAAGCUGUAUUUGCAGAAACAGAUCAUAUAGAUGUAAACAAGGAGAAGAAGAUGAAAAGACAAAGGGGGCAAGUAUCGAAAAAGACAAAGGAGAAAUUGCAAAAGAAAACGUUGCUUGUCAAUUGGGCGAGACAAUGCAUACCUGCCGAUAAACAAGGAACCAGCCUAGAGAAAGAAGAACUUGAAAAAAUAAGAGAUGGAAUCAGUAUUGUGAACAUCAGAGAGUACGAACAAUACCCCUGCCUUGUGUGUGAGUGCUGUAUGGUCUUUACUGACCCCCAUACUAAUAAGAAAAGUAUCAUUGAGGUUCUGUUAAAGGAGGUUAAUGGCAAAAGUAAGAAGUUAAAUUCACAGGAUGAAUUUAAGUUGCAGUUUAACAUGGGCGUGCUAAACAUUGAUGAAACCAUUUUGCUUCUACCAGACAAAACUGUGGUUGAGGCUUAUAAUGACACAUUUGAUUACAAUGUAAAACAAUUUCAAAAGAUUAUUGAUAAAGUUUUCAUUCCUCUUCUAGCUUUAUUUAAAGAACUUCAAAGAAAAAUUCAGUUAUUUUGAGCCCAUUUAGGAUUCUGAACAUUAACAGGGAAGUGCUGAAACUCUUCCAUGGCAAAACUUGGCCAUAUAACCUAAAGGUAUUUUAAUCACUCUGAAUGUUAUUUUGUCAUCUUUGGUCAGCCUCCUUGUUACAAGUUUCAUUUGAAGUGAUGUUUUAUUAAUAGUUUUUUUUUUGGGGGGGGGGAUUUGUAUGCAGGGAAGUCUUGCUGUAAGUUGGCAUUCAAACAUGACUUAUUUUGCGUAGCGUCCAACAGGGGGCGCCAGAAGUAAGUUUUUCUGGUGAAAUUGUGAUGAAGAUACACCAUGUGCCAUCGAACAUCUCUGUAACACACUGCUUUAU